ensembl:lncRNA
CAUGCGGAAGACCUGUUGUUCACAGAAGGAAGGGUUGAUUUCAAGAACGCGUGCUUUAGUUACACUGCUGGGAAAGAAAUUGACUCAGUGAAGUGCUUUUCCGUUUUUAUGACGUGCAGGAUGGCUACAUCCUCAUUGAUGGUCAGGACAUCGCUAAGGCAUGAGGAGCUGCUGGCCAUGGGGGGACUGUACACAGCCAUGUGGUUGAAACAGCAGCAAACCCCAGAGUCAGAGGUCUCUAAAGGUGAACAACCACAGGAGCCACAGCAGAGUUGCUGAAGAUGAUGGAGGAGUGAUGAGGAAUGGAGAUGUGUGAAAUCAAUCAGGAAAAUGGUAAAGAGCCCAUUGAGCUCCAAAGUUCAUCUCAGACACAGGGGCACCAGACUGCACAAAAGUAACGAACUACAAAGAGUGUUUCUCCGGGAAAGGUCUCAUUAAAAUCAACCAAUCACUGAGUACCUCUCAAUAUGCUAAAGGGUUAGUUCACCCUAAAAUGAAAAUGGUCCUCAUUUACUACCCUCGUGUUGUUCUAAACU